GUCUACAGCCAUGCCACCCUGAACGUGCCUGAUCUUGUCUGAUCUCGGAAGCUAAGCAGGAUCGGGCCUGGUUAGUACUUGGAUGGGAGACUACCUAGGAAGACCAGGUGCUGUAGGUG
rnacentral:rRNA from 1 species